rnacentral:lncRNA from 1 species
AUGUAUUGAUUUCUAUUAUGAAUAUCAAAGAAUAGGUCACAGUGAAAGGAACUGCAAGGAAAUAGUGCUAGUGGAAAAGCGUAAAUUGGAAAACCAAUUUGGUCCAUGGCUUAGAGCAGGCAAUGGUAAAAGAUCACCCCAAAAAGAAUUGAGAGAAUAGGUUAUAGCACAAGUUUCUUCAAACAAACAAAGGUAGGGUUUCAAAGAUGGGGAAUUGAUUCAAAAAUCAAAUGGAAAGAAACUAAUGAAGCAGGACAAAC